rnacentral:lncRNA from 1 species
CAUUCCAUGGUUUGCCACUCUACUCCGAGCUCCACACCUGAACACAUUCCUCUAUUUGUACCGGGCUCAAUGCCGAUAGCUGCAUCCCGCUCUACCAGUGACUACCCUGGGCUUUUGCGGGCUCUCCUACCCCGGAUGAAUGACCAUCGUAGCCUGAAACAUCCACGAACAUCUCUCUAACGGAACUCAUGACCAGUCACGACCAUUCAUUUGUAUUUGUAAACCGAUGUAUAUUCUGAUGAAUAUAAGUAUGAAAAUA